rnacentral:rRNA from 1 species
AUUGAACGCUGGCGGCAUGCCUUACACAUGCAAGUCGAACGGCAGCACGGGUGCUUGCACCUGGUGGCGAGUGGCGAACGGGUGAGUAAUACAUCGGAACGUACCUUAUCGUGGGGGAUAACGCAGCGAAAGCUGUGCUAAUACCGCAUACGCCCUGAGGGGGAAAGCGGGGGAUCGCAAGACCUCGCGCGAUUAGGGCGGCCGAUGCCUGAUUAGCUUGUUGGUGGGGUAAAAGCCCACCAAGGCGGCGAUCAGUAGCUGGUCUGAGAGGACGAUCAGCCACACUGGGACUGAAACACGGUCCAGACUCCUACGGGAGGCAGCAGUGGGGAAUUUUGGACAAUGGGGGCAACCCUGAUCCAGCAAUGCCGCGUGAGUGAAGAAGGCCUUCGGGUUGUAAAGCUCUUUUGUCAGGGAAGAAACACCGGCUCUAACACAGUCCGGGAAUGACGGUACCUGAAGAAUAAGCACCGGCUAACUACGUGCCAGCAGCCGCAGUAA